rnacentral:lncRNA from 1 species
ACAGCUUAUAUCAGUUAAUAAAAAGAGUCAUGAAAAUAGAAAAAAAAAGCAUAUGAAAAGUUAUAUAAUAAAUUUUUAAGAGACAAAAAGAUAUACAACCUAACACAACCAAAUACAGUAAAUAUAAUACAGAACUUUACUUUCGAGAAAAAAAAAUAAAAAACAAAGGAUAGAAAAAGAAAAAAUAAUAAAUCUUCAACAUAACAAACACAUUAGUCUGAAUACCAUGCAAAUAAAAAAAACUUAAAAAAACUGAAUAAAACUAUCUAAGAAAUUUCAACGAUACAACAUAAAGAAUACAUUAAUCUUUUAAAAUAAUUCCUGAAAUUUGAAGGAAAGCUCGAUUUGAUGAAGAUGGUAACGCUAAGCUCGACGAUGCAGCGUGCAAACUUAUACUCCAUCUACAUAACGUGUUUGAUCUUAGCCUCGGAGCUCAUGGAGGAGGAAAAGAAAAUAGAGAAGAAGAGAAUUGGGCUUUUCGUAGGUUUCUACGAUUUACUGUUUAGAUUAGGAUUAAAGUAGGUGAANNNNNNNNNNNNNNNNNAAAAGUUAUAUAAUAAAUUUUUAAGAGACAAAAAGAUAUACAACCUAACACAACCAAAUACAGUAAAUAUAAUACAGAACUUUACUUUCGGAAAAAAAAAUAUAAAAAACAAAGGAUAGAAAAAGAAAAAACAAUAAAUCUUUAACAUAACAAACAUAUUAGUUUGAAUACCAUGCAAAUAAAAAAAAACUUAAAAAAACUGAAUAAAACUAUCUAAGAAAUUUCAACGAUACAACAUAAAGAAUACAUAAAUCUUUUAAAAUAACUCCUGAAAUUUGAAGGAAAGCUCGAUUUGAUGAAGAUGACAACGCUAAGCUUGGCGAUGCAGCAUGCAAACUUAUACUCUAUCCACAUAACGUGCUUGAUCUUAGCCUCGGAGCUCAUGGAGGAGGAAAAGAAAGUAGAAAAGAAGAGAUGAUUUACUGUUUAGAUUAGGAUUAAAGUAGGUGAACCACUAAUUAGACGUUAUGUUUGUAGGAAAGGUGAAGGGUUGGACUAAGGUGAGCGAACUAUUAAUUAGAUGUUAUAGGUGCAGGGAAGUCGACGUUAUGUGUAUAGGAAAGAUGAAGGGUUGGGUUAAGGUUAGUGGAUAGGUUAGUGGAUUAUUAAUUAGACGUUAUAGGUGAAGGGAAGGCAAAGAGUUGGUUUCGCUGAA